GAUGAACGCUGGCGGCGUGCCUAAUACAUGCAAGUCGAGCGAAUGGAUUAAGAGCUUGCUCUUAUGAAGUUAGCGGCGGACGGGUGAGUAACACGUGGGUAACCUGCCCAUAAGACUGGGAUAACUCCGGGAAACCGGGGCUAAUACCGGAUAACAUUUUGAACCGCAUGGUUCGAAAUUGAAAGGCGGCUUCGGCUGUCACUUAUGGAUGGACCCGCGUCGCAUUAGCUAGUUGGUGAGGUAACGGCUCACCAAGGCAACGAUGCGUAGCCGACCUGAGAGGGUGAUCGGCCACACUGGGACUGAGACACGGCCCAGACUCCUACGGGAGGCAGCAGUAGGGAAUCUUCCGCAAUGGACGAAAGUCUGACGGAGCAACGCCGCGUGAGUGAUGAAGGCUUUCGGGUCGUAAAACUCCGUUGUUAGGGAAGGACAAGUGCUAGUUGAAUAAGCUGGCACCUUGACGGUACCUAACCAGAAAGCCACGGCUAACUACGUGCCAGCCGCCGCGGUAA
rnacentral:rRNA from 1 species